UAGCGGGUUAGAUUUCAGCACAGGAUACAGGAGGGACUCAAACAUUUAUAUUGUAGUUCCAAAAGUACCCCACAGCACCAUCUGUUAAUCACUGAAACUCUAGACAUUGAUGUGCCUGUUUCCACCACUUGAUGUGAUCACUUCAAACUCCUGUGCUCUGGGGUAGAAAGCACAAGUGAAAGCAGCCUGGGAUUUGAACUUAGCAGCCCAGAAAGCUGCUGCCUGCCAGCUGUGUAACACUGGGGAAGCCUUUAAACUAAUAUACACAGUGGACGUUUUAGUAACAUGUUCAACACAGGGUUGUUAUUUCAAAGAAGAUGGUAAAAGACAUUUCAUACUACAGAAACUCUAAUUUAUUUAACUGUAAUCCCAAGACUGGAGUCUUUUUUUUUUUUUCUUUCUGAGACAGGGUUUCUCUGUGUAACUGCUCUGGCUGUCCUGGAACUUAAUCUGUAGACCAGGACAGCCUCCAAAGUCACAGAGAAACCCUGUCUCAAAAAACCAAAAAAAAAAAAAAAAAAAACAAAAACAAAAACAAAAAAACAAAAAACACCCCAAAAAACAAGUGAAUAAUUGCAUAAAUCAAUAUCCAGUUGAAUGACAGAAGCAUUUUUUUUUUCCCGUAGAGAUGUGGUCUUUCCCUUUUUCUGUAACUGCUUGGUCUGCAUCACUUGGUUUUCUCAACAGGAUCAGAAGUUAAUAAAACAGUGGGUUUGCUUUGCCUUUGGUGAAUGAUGCAAGCUGAAAUGACAAAGAAGAGUGAUACCUGCUCAGGUGUCUGAUUAUUGGGAAGGUGGAUGACACCCAUAGGGAAUGGUCCCCUUCCACAAUGUCAGAUGUGCUAGAAAAAUGAAAAAGAAACUAAAGUUUUCUUGGAUCUCCCUCAUGUAAACCCAUGAUGUACAAGGAUUGGGUGCCCUGGGGUACUUGUGUCUACUAGAAAUCACGUGCUUGGUUUUAAGCCUGGCUCCACCUUGUAGAUUAUUAGAUUUUCCCUGCAAUUUUGUUCUCAUCUCACAGUAGAUUUCAACUCCUAAGCCCACGGUUAGGACUAAAGGAGUUAUAUAUUUGGUGUUUAGAAAGGCGCUGGCAGACAUCUGUUACUUUGCAAAGGUUCACCAUAAUUACAGAAUGGACUGAACCCCAGCAAGAAGUAGCCAAGACUCUGGAGUUCAUCUUGCUUGAUUUUAUCAUGGUUUUUCCUCUAGCUGAGCCUGUGACUCUACCUGGGCCACAGUAACAGUUCUGAUGUCACAGGGUGUUUUUGAAUUUAAAUGAGAUAACAUAUGCAAAACACAGAGAACAAUGCCCAACACAUGGGAUCACUACACAAAUGAAACAUGGUUAUUGUGGAUAGCAUCUGGUGUCCAUUAUAAGCCCCCAGAGCAUGUAGAAGACAUUUAUUCAGUUUUCAUCAGUUCUAAAAGAGAAACCUCUAUGGACAACUGGGCUUUAUCUUUGAAUUAGCUAUGCAUUGUUUUCUUUUAAAUUCACUAUCCAGUAUUAUGAUAAAUGGUUAAAUACAAAUAAUAAGUACAAGCAAAAAUACAUGUUCCGAAUGUGAGAUGAGGGUGUUGGGGGAGGGGGGACUAAUUUUGAAGGAUGGAUUUUAUGGCUUAUAGAACAGGAGGAGUGUUGGAGAAUCUGAACUCAGAGCAGAGCACACCCUCUGCAGGAGCAGUGCUCUGGGAGAGCCACCAGUGUUUGCAGAGUGUGCACCAGAGGACCCUGACUUCUGCCAUUCCUGGGCUGUGCAUCUGAUACUAAAGGGCCCCCGAAAAGGAUAUCCUACUAUAGAAAUGGUGGAAACAUGGCUGACUAGGACACCAUACUUGGCUCAUGGAGCACUGGCAGCAAUUAAAGAAGACUCUUAUUUUAUUUCCUCUAAUGGUUGGUUGUGUGAGCACUGGUAUUGAGAAAAUGACUUCCUUACUGGAAAGAUCUUGGGGAAAACUAAAUUCUGCCAAACUGCAAAGUGGAUGCAGGAUAAAAGUGCUGGAAUAACAUAAUGGAAGGACAGAAAGAUGGAGAUUAGGGAGUGAUCUGGUCCAGUUGUUCACCACCACGGCUUCCCAGUCUUCAAAGAAUUAAGAGGCGGGUCUGUUCUGCAUGCUUUAGGUGUCAGAGCCAUCUCAGUCUUCAUCUUACACUUCUAGACAACAUGCCCAACAGACUCAUUGUGUAGGAGAAUAGCUUUUACCUCAGAAAAAAAACACAAAAAUGCCUUUUCAUCUGACAGGAAGUGAGGUUAGAUGGGAGAAGUUCAGAGGGAUGGAAAUCAUCUUUCUAUCAUCUCUCUCAAUCAUCUAUCUAUCUAUCUAUCUAUCUAUCUAUCUAUCUAUCUAUCUAUCUAUCAUAUAGCUAACUAGGUUAAAAAUUAGGCACUAGAUGAAAACUACAGAAUCAAAAAGACAUGGGAUAUAUAGAAAACAAAUGGAAAAUUUCAGGCAUAAGUUCAAACACAUUAGUUAUGGUAGUAAAUGUGAAUGAACACCAUUUAAGACAAAUCUUGUCAGACUAGAUAAAAAACAUAGAACAGAACAAAUAGCUGUGCAUAAGAACCACACAUAAGUGAG
ensembl:lncRNA